rnacentral:tRNA from 1 species
GGCAGUAUAGCUCAGUCUGGCAGAGCACGGGUCUCAUAUGCCUAUGGUCGAUAGUUCAAAUCUAUCUACUGCCU